GGAUCGUGGCUCAGAGGUAGAGCGCUCGCCUCGCACGUGAGAGGCCCUGGGUUCGAUCCUCAGCACCA
rnacentral:tRNA from 1 species